rnacentral:rRNA from 1 species
UAAUACGAAGGAUUCGAGCGUUAUCCGGAUUUAUUGGGUUUAAAGGGUGCGUAGGCGGACCGAUAAGUCAGUGGUGAAAGCCUGUUGCUUAACAACAGAACUGCCAUUGAUACUGCCGGUCUUGAGUACAGUUGAGGUAGGCGGAAUGUGUCAUGUAGUGGUGAAAUACUUAGAUAUGACACAGAACACCGAUUGCGAAGGCAGCUUGCUAAACUGUAACUGACGCUGAGGCACGAAAGCAUGGGGAGCAAACAGGAUUAGAUACCCUGGUAGUCCAUGCCCUAAACGAUGAUUACUCGAUGUGUGCGAUAUACAGUACGCGUCUAAGCGAAAGCAUUAAGUAAUCCACCUGGGAAGUACGACCGCAAGGUUGAAACUCAAAGGAAUUGACGG